rnacentral:lncRNA from 1 species
AGGGGAGAAUUAAGGUUAAAGGGGAGGAUAGGUUAAGAAAUGGGAGGGGGGUUUUUUCGGGAGAGAAGAAGGGUUUGAGAAGGAUCAGAGAGCUAGUUUCAUGCUUCGGAGCGGGGAAAAAAAAUAGAAAAUUGGGUUUUUUUUUCAUAGGGUUUUGGGAAGACUGAGGCAAUCGUUGUUGAAGUCAGUGUUGUAAAGAUGAAUCGAGAUUUUUAAUGAAGUGGGUGUGAUUACUCUUGACUGUUUUGUGAAAUCGGAGUUACGUCAGUGAUUGGAGAAUUAAAAGGGUGUCUAUAGGAUUGAGUAUGCGGAGUGAAUGAAAUUUUUUGGGUUAAUCUAUCGAGACAAUCAAUGGAUACAAGAUUGUGAGUAUAAAGUGGUAUCGAAGAUUAGCAGUUUGGGUUGUUCGGGGUUCUCUAUAACGUCUAGAGACCUACCGGCUGGGACAAAA